CUAAGCGGCUCCUAUAUGACGUAACAGCGCCCUGAUUCAGAAAACUGGAAAAGUUUCUGCUCAUGGAUCUGAAGAACAGUAGCAUGGCGUUAAUGUUAUCAACAGUGACUUGUACAGUCAAAGAAGAACCUGAAGACCCUAAGGGUGAUGGGUUCGUCCAAGAGCCACUGGUUGAGUCAGGAGAGGACAUAUUAACAAUUGAAAAGACUGAAAUAACCUGGAACAAAAGGAGUUAAGAAAACAUAAAAAAUGGAUGUAAAUACUAAAAUAUGUAUAUGAAGACUGAAUUUAAAAUAUACGAUUUAGAUGAUCGGAUUGACACAAUUUUUUUUCCAGUAACCAAUGACUGUGAUUACUAUAAUG